rnacentral:ncRNA from 1 species
UGAUAGCGUUGAAGCGUGAGGUUGCUGCCCCUGUGGCAGGUUAUUCCGUGGAGCGAAUGUCAAGUUAUGAAACUCUGGCGACAA